GCCGGGGUGGCGAAAGGGCAGACGCGGCGGACUUAAAACCCGCUUCCCGCAAGGGAGUGCAGGUUCGAAUCCUGCCCCCGGCACCA
rnacentral:tRNA from 1 species